CAAUACAAGACCUUUCUACUUAUAAAAGUGAAUUGACCAAACAUGCUUUGAGUAAAAAAUUAUAAACGAGGAGGAGAAAUGUUUAAACUUUGCGUCAGUGCGAAAACUUCAAACCCCUCUCGGAGGAGAGAGAGCAAAUCGCGAUCUUGGGCAGUAGUAUGAGUCUCCGAACAAGAUAGGUUUUCGACUCGUUCUCACUUCCCACGAUCUGUCGGUAAGUAAAAAUUAUUUGUCCAGAUGCGUAAUUUUGUUUUUAUGAAUCUAUCAGUGUUUAAUUGUUUGAUCUUUGGAUUUUUCAUUUGUGUGGAUGAAUUUUCUGGAAUGUUCGGUGGGUUGAUGAUUUAGAGAUCUGCAAAUUUGGGUUCGUAUACACUGGAUAUUUUGCUGUUUAUCUGAUCUUUGCUGGGAAAAAAAAUAUGAAUGCGUUUAAGAGAAAAAUGUGGAGAUUUUUUUAAUUUUUUGUUUUGAAUGUGAAAAACGCGAUUGCGAAGAUGAAAUUGAGGGCAAAUCUUAAUGGGAAUAGAAAUUACGGUGAAAAAUGUUAUCUUGAUGAGUACAAUUCUGGAUCGAAUUAUGGGUGAGAAUAAAAUGUGCCGUCUGGCUGUCUCUGCUGCCAGAGUAAUUAUACGGUUGGGAAAUAAUCCUCUUAUACAAUAUCAAGGCAGAGAGAAAAACAUGAAGGAGAG
rnacentral:lncRNA from 1 species